rnacentral:rRNA from 1 species
UACAGAGGGUGCGAGCGUUAAUCGGAAUUACUGGGCGUAAAGCGUGCGCAGGCGGUUUUGCAAGCCGGAUGUGAAAUCCCCGGGCUCAACCUGGGAAUGGCAUUCGGGACUGCAAGGCUGGAGUGCGGCAGAGGAGACUGGAAUUCCUGGUGUAGCAGUGAAAUGCGUAGAUAUCAGGAGGAAUACCGAUGGCGAAGGCAGGUCUCUGGGCUGACACUGACGCUCAUGCACGAAAGCGUGGGGAGCAAACAGG